rnacentral:tRNA from 1 species
GGGCUCGUAGCUCAGUUGGUUAGAGUAGCUGGUUUACACCCAGUUGGUCGGGGGUUCGAGUCCCUCCGGGCCCA